rnacentral:tRNA from 1 species
AAGACGUUAGUAAAUACAUUACAUUACCUUGUCAAGGUAAAAUUAUAAACUAAUCCUUAUACAUCUUA